rnacentral:rRNA from 1 species
UACCAGCUCUUCGAGUGGUGUGGAUGUUUAUUGGGCCUAAAGCAUCCGUAGCUGGCUGGGCAAGUCCCCUGUUAAAUCCACCGAUUUAAUCGUUGGAGUGCGGGGGAUACUGUUCGGCUAGGGGACGGGAGAGGCAGACGGUAGUUUCGGGGUAGGGGUGAAAUCCUAUAAUCCCGAGAAGACCACCAGUGGCGAAGGCUGUCUGCUAGAACGCGCCCGACGGUGAGGGAUGAAAGCUGGGGGAGCGAACCGGAUUAGAUACCCGGGUAGUCCCAGCUGUAAACGAUGCAGGCUAGGUGUUUGGGCGGCCACGUGCCGCUCUAGUGCCGCAGGGAAGCCGUUAAGCCUGCCGCCUGGGGAGUACGGCCGCAAGGCUGAAACUUAAAGGAAUUGGCGGGGAGCACCACAAGGGGUGAAGCUUGCGGUUU